AUUUAAUGUAGUUUUUUCAUGCAACAGAAAUGGUCGACUUUUUGCUCAUCAAGAAUAACCUUUUCAAGGGACUAGAGGCUUUCCUUAGACUACAUGCACUCUACUACUUGGAGGGCAAUAUGUUGGCAAUACCUGUUUUCUUUUCCUUGGAGGCAUGUUUAGUGACAUUACCAACACUCUCCUUCUUGGAGUCUUUGUUAAUGAUAAGACAAGAAUUCUCACUCCUAAGGACAUUUUCGAUAAUACCAGAUAUAAAUUCGUUUGUCUUCUUUGAUCUGAUCUUAUUAGGACCUCCAAUGUUUUUCUUUAUGCUGCAUUUAAUGCAUAAAGGGGACUUUUGGGUAUUGAAUGAACUGCCGUUAUUUGGUUUAGAGGCAUGGUUGCAGUUUAAUUUAGGAGAACCGUGGCGUUUCAUGGUGGCAGUGCUUUCGAUCUCUCUACCCAGAGACAAGCUCUUUGACCUUCAAAAGAUGAGAUACAGAGGAUAUCUGCUAGCUAUUUUACUUACUUACUGCGUCUGGUUGUUUCCGAGGAAUGUGGGACCCGUAGCUGAGCACAUAGUAUUUUUUGUUCAGGAUUUCUCCUUAUACUCCUAUUCAGUGAUAAAUAUAUCCAAGCAGCCAUUAUAAUAUUGUUUAUCCUAUCAUUUGUCAACCAUUUUUUGGUAUUACCAACGACGUUUGUAACAACCGUAAGAGUCAUAAUUACAGUGCCUGUAAUUGGUUACCUAGUGUAUCAGUAUAUAAAAGAUGUCAUUUCCAUCGUAAGUUUGUUUGUAACAGAGAUUUAUAAGGGCAUUCAGCAAGUUAAAACCUCCGGGUUGCGUUCAGUUGCUAAUUUCACUGGUCUUAUAUCUUCACAUAUGAGACCACAUUUUUUUCUUUUUUGGUAUGCUUCAUCUUUAAUGUAUGCAACAUUACCAGUAAUUGAUAUGUACACAAACUCAAAAAAUAAAACUUUUUCGUUGGGUUUGGAAACAUUUUUGUACAACACUGCUAUUGUCAACUGCAAUACUAUUGUUGGAAUUGCCGCAACAAGUUUAAUUGUAAUGUCUGCAUCACGAUACAUACGUCGAAUGACAAGAACAUUUAUUUACAGUUGCAAAGAAAUGACACCAAUGGUUGAUUCUGACAGUUUCAUCGUUUUCUUUUUAAUCAUCAUCUUUGCAAUUUAUAUAAUACAGUCAUCUGUAUUGUUUACAUACUUGCAUGAACAUAAUAAGAUAGAUGUGAAAGUUAUAUUUUGGUUCAUAUUCUUUCAUAUCACAACAGUUUUUAUCAAUAAUAUUUACCAAAUGGUAGAUUCAGACAUCUUCGCCAUUCGUGCAUCCGUGACCCACAUUUUUAAACCCAUCCGAGUUCUAUUCCUAGAUAGUUUUCUCCUUAUAAUGAUGUUGUGUGUCGUUUACUCAAUUUAUCACCUUGUCAGCUUGAAAUUGUCUUGUGUUAUUGUUAUAACAGGUUUGUCAAAAUGUAUCCAGAUCAGUGGCUCCAUCAUAAUAUACAUCCUUUUAUUGCAUAGUGCUUUCCCAUCUCUAGACAAAGUUGGCCUCGUAAGUUCGCUUAAAAUGCUAGAUUAUGUAGGAGUCAUUUUUGUUGCAUACUUCAGCGGAUUUAGCUUUCUUCAGAUUUCUCAGUGUAUUUUACUCUGCUAUCAUAGCGGUUGGAACAAACUGAUACAUCAAAGGUUGGUCGGGAUCUUUUAUCCUUAGGAACUGCACCCAAAUAUCAGUGCUUUGGGUAUGAAAUCUGGAUAAAUGGCAACCUUUUGCUUUAUUUGUAAUCAUUAGAGCUGUCUUUAAUAAAUCCAAUAUUUCAACGAAAAUGAACAAACAAGGCCGAUAAGUCUUUAAGGGCUUCUUUACAACAUAAGCAUUUGCAUGAAUCUGUCUAUUUGUUACAUUUCGUGGUUUUAAUGUGUAGUUAGAGUUUUAGGAUGUAUUUAAGGAUAUAACCAUGACUUGUAUAUCCAUAUAUGUAUAAUGAUGUCUUAACAAUAUAAAUUAUUCUUGUAUUCGUUUGC
rnacentral:misc_RNA from 1 species